ACAAGGCUGUUAUAAUUACUGUCAGUUGUGUAAGCAGGAGAGCUUAGUAUGACUGCUGGAAGAAGAGUUAGCUCUUAAGUGUAAAAUCCUGGUGGCUAUUUGCCCCUUCGAGAGAGCUAAUAGAAGAGUUAAUGGCCUGAUGGAAGGAACCGCAAGCAAACUUGAUUUUAUGACUGCACAGUUUUUGUCUUCUACAUUUGAAGAGAGAUCCUUAAGGAGGAGAUGAUUACAUAUAAGCCAUUACAAGAAGAAAACUGAAAACUGGGGGGAAAAAACUUGUCUGAAAAAAAAAAAAAAAGAAACUGAUGAACUGAUGACCACAUUGUCCAAAAAUGACCCCAUAUCUGAACAAGUGAUCCUCAAUGAUCAUAUUUUACAAAAAUGUUCCUUCAUGAAUAAAGUAUGAAUAAAAGAAUUGUAACUGUUUGUAUUAUUAAAGGCUAAUUCCAGCUUCAACAUGUUAAGAGAUUUAGAGCCCCAUAUUACACAGAGAAUAGAACGUGAUUUUUAUUAUAAUAACUUAAUACUGUCCACAGCUUGGAUAAUGAGUACGGUAAUUUGACAGCACUCCUAGAGGAAAGAACCAGCACACACAAAGUAAAAAAAAAGCUGAAAGAUAUUACAAAACAUGAUCAUUAUUCUAACUUCACCAUGAAUCCAUAGCUGAGGAAAAUAACAUUCAACCAAGAAAAAGUGUUUACUUGUAAUAAUGAAAAGAUAGUCCUGAAAAUUUUAAGGCAGUUAUCAUAGACGUAUUCUGGUGACAGCUACAAAUCUGUGCUAGUAUUCCACUGAAUGGCUAAUUCUAUUUUAUUACCAGAAAAGUGUAGCAUUCUGCUGAACAUUUUCCUAAGCCAAUAGGAAAGCAUAGCAUUUCCAUGCUUCGGAUGAUCAGAAUAGUGUUGAACAUGUAAUUGUUAUCGAUAAGCCCAUGCUGAAAAGUCAUCCAUGACUGAAGUACUUACCAAGACCCAUUUCUCUCAUUUAGCAGCUAUUUUGUGUCUUCUAUUUGCACAACUGCUCUUGCAUUUGUCUGCUAUUUUCCCCUACAAUGCUGAUUUAAAUUAAAAAAAAAAAA